rnacentral:rRNA from 1 species
UACGUAGGGUGCGAGCGUUAAUCGGAAUUACUGGGCGUAAAGCGUGCGCAGGCGGUUUCGUAAGACACGCGUGAAAUUCCCGGGCUCAACCUGGGAACUGCGCUUGUGACUGCGCGGCUAGAGUGUGUCAGAGGGAGGUGGAAUUCCACGUGUAGCAGGGAAAUGCGUAGAGAUGUGCAGGCACACCGAUGGCGAAGGCAGCCUCCUGUGAUAACAAUGACGCCCAUGCACGACACCUUGGGGAGCAAAUAGG